rnacentral:rRNA from 1 species
UACGUAGGGGGCAAGCGUUGUCCGGAAUCAUUGGGCGUAAAGCGCGUGUAGGCGGUUAUCUAAGUCUGUUGUGAAAGUCGGAGGCUCAACCUUCGAAAGUCGAUGGAUACUGGAUGACUAGAGUACGGAAGAGGAGAGUGGAAUUCCUGGUGUAGCGGUGAAAUGCGCAGAUAUCAGGAGGAACACCAACGGCGAAGGCAGCUCUCUGGGACGUUACUGACGCUGAGACGCGAAAGCGUGGGGAGCAAACAGG